AUCUAGCUGACGAGUCCCGACCAGGACAAAACGCGCGUCCUGUAU
rnacentral:hammerhead_ribozyme from 1 species